rnacentral:rRNA from 1 species
UGGGGAAUAUUGGACAAUGGGCGAAAGCCUGAUCCAGCCAUGCCGCGUGUGUGAAGAAGGUCUUCGGAUUGUAAAGCACUUUAAGUUGGGAGGAAGGGCAGUUACCUAAUACGUGAUUGUUUUGACGUUACCGACAGAAUAAGCACCGGCUAACUCUGUGCCAGCAGCCGCGGUAAUACAGAGGGUGCAAGCGUUAAUCGGAAUUACUGGGCGUAAAGCGCGCGUAGGUGGUUAGUUAAGUUGGAUGUGAAAUCCCCGGGCUCAACCUGGGAACUGCAUUCAAAACUGACUGACUAGAGUAUGGUAGAGGGUGGUGGAAUUUCCUGUGUGGCGGUGAAAUGCGUAGAUAUAGGAAGGAACACCAGUGGCGAAGGCGACCACCUGGACUGAUACUGACACUGAGGUGCGAAAGCGUGGGGAGCAAACAGGAUUAGAUACCCUUGUAGUCCCUGAGCGGGCUGGCAAGGCGCAU